UGGAGAAGCAAGCAAGAAUCCCUCGGAUGACAGAGGAAAACCCACGGAGAUGGUAGCCAGGGGUUCGCACUGCCAACAGCUGUCCUGAGCCGAAGCCUCUGAGAGAAAGCUACACCAACGUGUCCCCCCCCCCGACUGUGCCGCGUCCCCGGCGUGUGCCAGGGCCGCCCCGUGGCGGCUCAUCGAGCGUAUCCGAGGAAACGUCCACGCCAAGCUCCUCCUCUGCUCGGCCGCAUGACUGCCUCUUGGUGAUUGCGCGUUAAGAGCACGAAACUUCAAACGCGAUGGAAUCACUGGGCGUUUAAAAGGCUGCCAUGUGUGCAGGACUCCUCAUCGAAGAAUCGUUCACACGACAAAUUGACGAAGUCGC